AGAAUCAACGCUGGCGGCGUGCCUAACACAUGCAAGUCGAACGCGAAAGUCCCGCAAGGGAUGAGUAGAGUGGCAAACGGGUGAGUAACACGUGGGUGACCUGCCCUCGAGCGGGGGAUAACGGUCCCGAAAGGGACGCUAAUACCGCAUGACAUCCUGCCUUUGAACAGGUGGAGAUCAAAGCUGGGGAUCGCAAGACCUAGCACUCGGGGAGGGCCCGCGCCUGAUUAGCUAGUUGGUGGGGUAACGCUCACCAAGGCUUCGAUCAGUA
rnacentral:rRNA from 1 species